UACGUAGGGUGCGAGCGUUGUCCGGAAUUAUUGGGCGUAAAGAGCUUGUAGGUGGUUUGUCGCGUCUGUUGUGAAAGCCCCCGGGCUCAACCUGGGAAUGGCAAUGGAUACUGGCAGGCUAGAGUGCGGUAGAGGGUAGUGGAAUUCCCGGUGUAGCGGUGAAAAUGCGCAGAUAUCAGGAGAAACACCGGUGGCGAAGGCGGGUCUCUGGGCAACAACUGACGCUGAGGAGCGAAAGCGUGGGGAGCGAACAGG
rnacentral:rRNA from 1 species